GCUUACGGCCAUACCACCUUGAGAACGCCCGAUCUCAUCUGAACUCAGAAGCGAAGCAAGGUUGGGCCUGCUUAGUACUUGGAUGGGAGACCACCUGGGAAUACCAGGUGCUGUAAGCU